GAUGAAGAACGUAGCGAAAUGCGAUACUUGGUGUGAAUUGCAGAAUCCCGUGAACCAUCGAGUCUUUGAACGCAAGUUGCGCCCGAGGCCAUCAGGUUGAGGGCACGUCUGCCUGGGCGUCACAUAUCGUUGCCCAAUGCCUAUUGCAGUGCAAUAGGAAUUUCUAGGGCGAAUGAUGGCUUCCCGUGAGCGUUGUUGCCUCGCGGUUGGUUGAAAAUCGAGUCCUUGGUAGGGUGUGCCAUGGUAGAUGGUGGUCGAGUUAGAACGAUACCGAUCAUGUGCAUGCUCCCCAAAAUAUGGCCUCUAUGACCCACACGCGUCUUUUGACGCUCAUGACGAGACCUCAGGUCAGGCGGGGCUACCCGCUGAAUUUAAGCAUAUCAAUAAGCGGAGGA
rnacentral:misc_RNA from 1 species